rnacentral:misc_RNA from 1 species
AAAGUCGUAACAAGGUUUCCGUAGGUGAACCUGCGGAAGGAUCAUUACCAAAUGUACCUUUUUUGUUUGCCCCUCCUUGUAGCAGCAGCAAGUGUGGAGACCAGGAUGCGUGGAUGGUCGGUCAGCCGACUACCAUGCCUUUGGUCUCCUCGCUGCUACGUUCUUCUAUUUUAACCACUCUGUUGCAUGUUGGUGGCAUCCAAUAUAUACAAAAUAUAACUUUCAACAACGGAUCUCUUGGCUCUC